AGAGAGAGAGAGCUAUGUGGAGUUCAAUUGAGAAUUUUUAGGACCUUGCAGACAUGCGAGAAGAUUGAACCAAAUCUCUGGCAGCUGUUCAGGCUAUGGAGCUUGCCAAAGAGCGUGAAAAGUUAAGAGAGAUCUGCAGCUAAUCUCUACAUACAGGGUAUAUAUUACCUACUAGUAGCUUGGGUGCUUCUUUUGUAUUCUAGUAUUCUCACUUGCCUUACUUUCAUAUCACGUUGAAUGGUCGGGAGAGCCAUGCUAUUGGAACUGCCAUGGAACAUCUAAAAGAAGUUAACGAAAGCUCGCUAAAGUUGAAACGAAGCGAGUUAGAAGCUGCUUUAGAAUAGAGCAGGAGGAAGCCAACCAGUAGCAAAGUAUUCCCUGACGCCACAGAGGCUCUGACUAGGCAUCCUAGUGUGGACAAGGAGAAGCCUGAAAUCUUCCCCGGAAAAAGAUGAAAUGGAGCAAUCCUUGCAAAGGUUGGAAACAGAUUUGAAAGAAACACAACAAGAAAGGGACAAGGCACGGCAAGAAUUGAAAUGGCUCAAACAACACUUGCUAAAAAAGAGGUUAGAAGCCUAUGUAAG